rnacentral:lncRNA from 1 species
ACAACUUUCUCUCACUCUUACUUCCUGUUUCUGUUGUACCUGUAUUCCAAAGGGCUGGCCUUGUCACUCUCUGUGUCACGCUGAAUAUCCCCGAGAACUACGUUAAGGGUACACGUGUCUGUGGAGUGCUCAGCCACUUACACGUUAAUUUCACGAGCAGGCUGUUCCGUUGAUUCGGAUCAACCGGAACCCUCGUCGUCGUAACCGACGGAGUGCUUCCAUCCAUCACAUGGACAGAUAUAACGUAUGUAUAUAUUUGCGAUAUAUAACAUGUGCGUUUCCAUUUUUGCAUGUGCACAUGUAUGCAAAUCGUGCAUAAGUCUGUAUACUCCGGAUCGACGAACAUAUAAAUGGACGACUGUGUACGUUUGAACAUGCCCGCGCGUAGGCGUCCACGUGUGUGUGUGUAUGUGUGUGUUUAUAUGCGUGCGCUUGUGUGUGUGUGUGUCUGAAAAUGUGUAUAUAUGUGUGCGUGUAUGUGUGUGUGUGUGUGCAUGUGUGUGUGUGUGUAAAGCCUAGCGUAUCGAAGCAAUCCACCAUCUGGAAAUGGUAGCUAAAUCUCUCUCAGUUUAUCUUUUUUAAUCUAUCUAUCUAUAUCUAUCUAAUUAUCUCUAUCUAUCUUUCAUUCUGUGCGUAUACAUAUAUAUAUAUAUAUAUAGAGAGAGAGAGAGAGACACACACAUACACACACACACAUACAUAUAUAUAUAUGUAUAUAUGUAUAGACAUAUAUAUAUAUAUAUAUAUAUAUAUAUAUAUAUACAUAUGUAUAUGCAUAUAUAUAUAUACAUACAUAAAUACACACAUAUAUAUAUACAUAUGCAUACAUACCUACAUACACACACACACACGUAUAUAUCUCUUUGUCUAUCACUGUCUAUAUUUUCGUCUACUUAUCUCUAUGUAUCUUUCUAAAUAACUCUCUCUCUCUCUCUCUCUCUCUUUCUUUCUUUCCCUUCCCCUAUAUAAAGAGAGAGAGAGAGAGAUUUGAGAGGGGAAGAGGCGUGAUAUAUAUGUGUGUAUGACUGCAUUUAUAGGUAUAUGCAUGUAUGUACAGGUAGUGAAAUGGUUUUGAUGCCAGGCUCACGAUCGUUAGGUCACGAGAUCGGUUUUCAGCCAGACUGACACUUCGAAACUAAGCAUUUCACGUCCAUUCGCUCCGUUCAACUGAAUACCAAACAAUAAUUGGGGAGUUAACUCUGCGAUGGACUGGCGUGCCAUCCUGACGGCAGUCUUUUACUCUCACUCGCCUAGACGACUCGGAAAACCUGGAUAAGUUCUGGCAUUAGAAGCCUGUAAAGUUGAGGCAUCUACGUGCAUAUCGCUAGCCACUACACAUUCUUUAUUUUCUCUCCUUGUUUCUUACUGAGUUCCUUUCUAUGGAAGAGCGUAGGCUCGAAACGUUAAAGACCUCUUCACUUCCCGAUCGUUAUACUAAAACAUGUUUGUUGUCUACACCACCUGUCUUCGUCUCUUGAUUUGUUUAUUGUUUUUUUUGUUUUUGAUUUUUUUGUGAAUUCUCCCUAUAUAAACAAGCGGUGCGGUAAAAGAGGCAGGCUUUAAAAAUACGUGUCGAUUCGUUCAACUAAAUAGAUUAAGGCAGUGCCCCAGUAUGGCCACAUUCUAAUGGCCAAAAACAGAUAAAAGUUAAGGGAAGAGAUGAAACACACACACACACACACACACACAUACAUACAUACAUACAUACAUACAUACAUACAUACAUACAUACAUACAUACAUACAUACAUACAUACAUACAUACAUACAUACAUACAUACAAACAAUCAUACAGCAGAGGAUUCAAAUUUGCGGCCGUCGUGUUGCACUGCCUGAAGGUGCCCUUCCACCAUUUCUUUGAUCCCACACUAAUACCAAUUUUUGUCCUUCGAGAUGAAGAAGUCUUUCACUGAAGAUUCCACCUUCUCUUGGUUGAUGAAGCGCAGUGGAAGCUAGUCCUCACUUAGCCGCUGCUUAAGCACGUUAGAAAAGCGGGAAAAUGUCUCCCUCGGAUUAUGACUUGCUCUGAUCUAAGGCUCGCUUCCUGCGCACAGUAUCCUAUGAAUACUUAUAUUUACGCAUUUAUUACUACGUCUGAGCAUGAAAAUAUUUAUUGCUGAAGUUAAAUCUUAAAUUAUAACGCAGGGACUGAACGAAAAUACAGUCAUCUUGGCGCAAGCAUGGCAUGGCGGUUAAGACGUUAACUCAGCAUACACAUUGCCUCAAGUUCAGUCUCAUUACGCGGCACCUAGGACAAGUGUCUUUUACUAAAAGCUCGUUAUAUGUAUGCACUUGCGUAUGUAUGUAUUUAUGUAUGUAUGUAUGUAUGUAUGUAUGUAUGUAUGUAUGUAUGUAUGUAUGUAUUGUAAGUAUAUAUGUACGAGAGGUGUAUGAAAAGUUUUGAGCCUUCAAGGCCCUUGAGCCUUGAAGUCGUGUACCUUCAUCAGAAGUCUUGUACCAUGUUUUUGAGGCUCAAGAUUUUUCAUACACCAUUAAGACACGGGGACAUAUACACACCAGCUCCGGUUGACAAGCGGUGGUAGAGGGCAAACACAUACAUAGCUACACACACAUACACAUACACAAAUGUAUGUAUGUGUGUGUGAGUGUAUAUAUAUAUAUAUAUAUAUAUAUAUAUAUAGGUAAACAGUAAAAAUAAUUACAGACAUGGACAAGAACAUGAAACACCACAGAGACGACACAAGAACCACAGGACGGGACAUUCGAAGCCCUCAAUCAUCAGUCAAGAACCAGAUCAUCUUAGCAAUUUCGGCUGAUUAAUCUUGAGAUUGCUCCGAUUAUAUAUAUAUAUAUAUGUAUAUAUAUAUGCAUAUACAUAUAUCUAGGAAAAAGUACAACAAAGCGAGUAUCUCAAGUCAUUUAGGAUAUUUAUUGGAUGUUUUACAUCUGUUUUGAGGAUAUCUCAAGUGACAGACUAGCAUCUCCAUACACUGGGUAUUCCGUCAUCCGAGACAGGAUGAGUGGCGAAAUAGCCAGUGUAUAGAGAUGCUAGCCUGUCGCUUGAGAUAUUUCAAAAACAGAUGUAAGACAUCCAAUAACUAUUCUAAAUGAUUUGAGAUACUCGUCCUACCUUGGUUUUGUUGUCCUUUUUCCUCUAAUAUACACCUGCUAACUCGAAUACCUACUACGGAUACCUGGCUCCAGCCUCAGCUGUGAACUUGGAACACAACGGAUGACCAGUUAUAGCACUUACACAGCGUGCCUUUCCGUUUAGAUCACCGGUGAUAUAAAACCCCUCAUAUUCCUUAUAUAUACACACACACAUCUGUAUACAUAGAUGCUUAUAUCUAUCAUGAGUAGGUGGAUUUCUGUGUUUGUUUCUCCUACAUCCUUUUAUUAAUCGAUGUUGGUUGCUUUACGUCACCGUACUUAACGACAGACUAAAUACCAGACAAAACAAAGAUAGUAGGGUCGAUUUGUUCGAAUAACCAUACUUAGAGGGAGGUGCUCCAGCGUGGCUCCCAUCCUAUGACACAGACAGAUAAUAGAGUACAUAAGAGAACAUCCCUAAUACUACUCAUAUGUAUCUAUGCAUGCAUGUAUGCAUGUAUGUAUGUAUGUAUGUAUGUAUGUAUGUAUGUAUUUAUGUAUGUAUGUAUGUAUGUAUAUAUAUAUGGUGGCUGUAUAUAUAUAUAUAUAUAUAUAUAUAUGGUGGCUGCCCCUGCGCGAAGCUUAAUCAAUGUUGUUAUCGUGCAAUGCCUGUGCAAGAAGAUUUUUUUUAAGUGAGGAAAGGCUGUGCACCGAGUCAAUCCUACUCACUAAGCAACAGCAGCCAUAGUCCGAAAAGAAGAACAAGUCAACAUCAUCGGUAACCACUGAGCUGCAGGUUUUAUGUCGGAGUUAUAGCAGUUACCUGAGUUACCUUCUCCUAGAAGGAUGUCCUAACAAAGGCUAGGACUCCUUCACUCCCAAUGGUUUAACCACGCGAUCGGGUAUUCAGUCCGAUUAUUUCUAUGUCCCUGCGCAUGAUACGGCCUUAAGACAUUUAUUGGAUGGCCGUUGACUCUCAAGAGUUCCUCCGACCUUUGACGGGUUUUGUUUUUCAUCCCGCAGGGUGUCCAGUGCACACCCUCCUCACCAAGCAAGCUUGAUGGGGUUGCCGGUUUAGUCGCCGACGACCCGACCAUGCAACAGGUUGUACUGAGUUACAUGUUACCAGUAGCACUCGAAAGUGACCUGGCAGAAACGUUAGCACGCCGGGCGAAAUUCGUAGCCGUAUUUCGUCUGUCGUUGCGUUCCGAGUUCAAAUUCCGCCGAGGUCGACUUUGCCUUUCAUCCUUUCGGGGUCGAUAAAUUAAGUACCAGUUACGCACUGGGGUCGAUGUAAUCGACUUAAUCCCUUUGUCUGUCCUUGUUUGUCCCCUCUGUGUUUAGCCCCUUGUGGGUAGUAAAGAAAUAUAUAUAUAUAUAUAUAUAAUAUUUAAAGAUAUAUAGAUGUAUAAUUAUAUAGAUAUACACAGCUAUGUUAAAUUACAGCUAAUGAAGUCUAUUACGUGAUUUUCUUUUCGUUUGUCAUUUAUUUAAUUUCGUAUUAAGCUCUCUAAUCAACUAACGCUUUAUCCUGAAGUAUAUCUACAUAGAGAUGAAGCAACAGGUUAUUAGCAUUGCUAUGCCUAAGCAAAACAUUGAAAUAUAUAUGCACAUAUAUAUUCAAUAUAUACACACAUUUAUAUACAUAUAUAUUCAUGUGUGAGUGUUUGCGUGUCUACGUAUGUAUAUAUAUACAUAAAUGUUAUAUAUGAAACAUUAUACGUGGUGGAGAACAACUACAAAUAAUUUCAAAUUUAAAUCUGAAUAAAUAACUUAAAUACCACCAAAAAUAAUUUUUGAUGAAAAUUACUUAUUGAUUCUAUGUUAUUUAUCAAUAAAUCAUCAAGAUUGUUAUUGACAAAUUAAUAUAAAAUAAUUGCUGAGACUUAUUAAAAUAUUGUGCUAUAUGACAUAAAAAAUUCCAGAUGCACUACAUGAAUUACAGAUAUU